GUGGCUAUAGCUCAAUGGUAGAGUACCAGAUUGUGAUUCUGGGCGUUGCGGGUUCGAGUCCCGUUAGCCACCCCA
rnacentral:tRNA from 1 species